GGGAGGUAGUUGCUAUCUUUGGUUAUCUAGCUGUAUGAGUGUUUAUCUGCCUUCAUAAAGCUAGAUAACCGAAAGUAGAAACGUCCCCCUUAACUGCAUAGUGGACAAGUUGGGAAGCAAUGAUCGCAGGGAACUGCAUGAGCCUCUCAAACUGCAGUGUCUUUGUGAGAGACCAGAGGACUGGAGCUAAGGGAGAAAACACCAUCUGCUCCCCUCCCUUCUUCGUCAACGGAAGCAUUUAGUGCCAUCUGUGCCCCCAGAGAAAAGAGGAAAAAAAGAAAGGAGUGAGACUCUACAUCCCAAGUGCCAAUGGGGACAAAGAGGCUGCCAGUUGCCACGGACCACCAGAUGCUGGAAGACUGCAAGUCUGAAUGAGGGGUGUGCUUUCAGGAAGCCAUCUUGAUGGAGAAGCUGGCUGCUGCUCCCUAAAAUGGCUGUGUUGGCAUGAGGCUCCUGGCAAUGAAACUGAAAAAUCCCCAUCGUCGUCAUCAGCUACUGGAGAAACCGAGGCCAUCCUGCUAUGUUUGACUCAAAUGGUCAAUCACAUCACCUCAGGAAUCCAGUGUCCAGCAUCUCUUCCAGAUGGUUCGCUGUGGAAAUUAAACAAGCAGAUGAGGGAUGGUUUAAAAUGUGCACUAAUUGAUUUAACCGGGUGUCUUAAAACCUUUCAGUCUUCAGACAAUCACUAAUACUGGAUGGGCGUGUGGAUUAUUAGUGCUAUAUAAACUGAAGAGAAUAAUGUGGCUUAAUGUGUAAAAAGUUUACAGUGAGAGUUGAUGUUAUCGAUAGAAAUGUCAAUGUCUGGGAUUUUGCAUUCCCUAUUUUAAAUGGACUUUUAAUGCUUCUUUCUCUUGCAUUAAAGCAUAUGAACGUUCAUGUUAGGCAUUCAUGUUUUAUGUUAUUGUAUUUAUAAAAUGUUCCAGUUUCAAUGGAUUUGCAGGAAAUUGUGCUUAAUCCAGAUAUUUUGUAUGGCUACUGUAUGUAUGGAGUUUAAUACAAGAAUUAUGGUCAGUUUAUCAUUUGUCUGAUUAUGUGAUUGUAUGAAACAAACUUUUCAAACUGCGCAAAUAAACGACAUUAAAGCAUUGAGUGAAUGGUUGUUGGCACUGAAA
rnacentral:lncRNA from 1 species